AUGUGGACCUGUCUUCGUCAGCGCUAUGAGCCAUCUGGUGAUGCCUUAUAACUUUCUGUGGUCCGUCAGGAGCAUGCUCUUCAGCAGGGUGACUCUACUGUUGAUGACUUCUAUGCACAGAGUUCUGCUAUCUGGCGCCAGCUUGAUUCUCUCCGCAAUGCUGGUUGUCGUACUUGCCCCUGUUGCCAGGCAGUCCAGGCCAAUUUGGAGUUCCAUCAUGUCUACGAGUUCCUGUCUCGGCUCCGUAAGGAGUUUGAGCCCCGACGUGCUCAGUUGUUUGCUCGUGGCCAUAUUUCUCUCAUGGAGGAGCUUUUUGAGAUUCGUGCUGAGGAGACUCGCUUACGUGGUGCUGGUUUGCUAGAGGUUCCCUCUGUGCUCGCUACUCGAGCUUCUUCCAUGCCACCUGCUCCAACCCCUUCUCGCUCGAGUGCUCCGCCGCUCUUGCCCACUCCUUUUGGAGGCUCAGGUCGCCCCCGUCCACAUUGCGACUACUGCAACAAUGAUGGUCAUAUUGAGCCCCAAUGCUACACAAAGAGGAAACACCUGCGCAGGGCGCGAUCAUCAUCUUUAGGGACUUCGUCA
rnacentral:rRNA from 1 species